rnacentral:rRNA from 1 species
AUGAACGCUGGCGGCGUGUCUAAGGCAUGCAAGUCGAACGCGUUUGUUGUUGUAGCAAUAUGAUGACAGACGAGUGGCAAACGGGUGCGUAACACAUUGGUAACCUGCCCCCUAGUCGGGCAUAAUUCGCCGAAAGGCGGACUAAUUCCACGAUAGUGAUGAGGGGUCGCAUGACAUUCUCAUCUAAAGCGCAAAACGCGCUAGGGGAGGGGCCUAUGGCCUAUCAGCUUGUUGGCGGGGUAACGGCCCACCAAGGCGAUGACGGGUAGCGGGUGUGAGAGCAUGACCCGCCUCACUGGGACUGAGACACUGCCCAGACACCUACGGGUGGCUGCAGUCGAGAAUAUUCCCCAAUGGACGAAAGUCUGAGGGAGCGACGCCGCGUGCAGGACGAAGGGCUUCGGCUCGUAAACUGCUUUUCUCAGGGAAGAAUUUUGACGGUACCUGAGGAAUAAGAGGUUGCUAACUCUGU